UGGCGUCGAAGGAGUAGAACCGCGUAGCGGACGACGGACCCUAACACAGUGACGAAGGUCGGAGGGGCAUCAGUGGCGUAGACAAUACGCUGAGUCGGCGGACCGGCGCGACGGGUGCGUAACGCGUAUCGGAACCUACCCACCGCGAGGGGGACUAACCCGCCGAAAGGCGGACUAAUACCCCAUGGUUCCCCGACCCUGCCUGGGGUUGGGGGUAAAGCCUACGGGCGGCGGUGGAUGGCCCUGCGUGCCAUUAGCUGGCUGGUGGGGUAACGGCCCACCAGGGCGACGAUGGCUAGGGGGUCUGAGAGGACGAUCCCCCACACUGGUACUGAGACACGGACCAGACUCCUACGGGAGGCAGCAGUGAGGAAUAUUGGUCAAUGGGCGGAAGCCUGAUAGUGCGACGCCGCGUGAACGAUGAAUCCCUUCGGGGUGUAAAGUUCUUUUAUAUGUGAGCAGUGCUUCUUAUAUUAACAGUAUGGGGAGAGAGAUAUUAGCAUAUGAAUAAGCAACGGCUAACUCCGUG
rnacentral:rRNA from 1 species